GACGUCAGGAAAUGUUGAGCAAACGUUUCUGACGACGCAUAAACUCAGAUUACACUCAGACAAUACCUGAACUAAACUGAAUAUAAAGGAGUGAGGACAUUUCAGAAACAGAGGACAUCUGAGGAUGGACUGAUUCAUGAGAAUGUCUCAUUUUGGAAAAACAGGACUGUGUGAAGUGUGUUUUAAUAUCUGUGAAAGGUCCAGAUGUUUUUGAAGAGAAAGGGAAUUUCUGAAAAUUCUGAUGUUUGUGGUUUGUGGGGACAGGUUUAGGAGUUCGGCUGAGGACAACUGUGGAAAGUAAGGACUUUUGAAAACCUGGAUAUGAAACAUGUGAAAUGUACGGAGGAGGACCAUUGAGUGAAAGCCGUCGGCUGGCAGAGCCUCAGCAGCUCCUGGCUCAUCUCUCUCGCUGCCAUCAACGACAAUUAUCAUCAAACCGUUUAACCGACAGCUAAUAAUGAUCCGGGGCACAAACAGCAGCGGCAGUUUAUCUGCUGCUUACAUUACAUCCUGACUGAGCGUCCUGUUCGCUGCGUGGGUUUGAACCCCGGCCAGAGGAACUUGGCAGCCGCGGCUCGAUGGUUAUUAAUAUUCCUAAAGGCCUGAGAAAAUAAACUUCCUGUCAGAGAGGGUUGCCAUGGCGUCUCAGAGUUGACACAGCAGUCCGACUGUAGCCGUCAUUGUUUCUGAUCAGAAGCCCAACCACUCAUUAUAUUUCAAUUUAUGGUUCCUCUUUUCAUAGAUCUUUGUGUUGGUCUGAGAAACAAUCUGUGAGAGGAGAGAAAAGCCCUGAUGGAGACAGGAAGUGUCCCGCUGAGGGACACAACAACAUGUUUGUGUCUCUGAGGACGUUUCUCACCCACAGAAAAAACAAACUGCUGAGCUUUAAUGAGCCAAAAGACUUUUACUGACGAGCUGUUAUAAAGAGAAACAUGCAGCGUGAACAGCACAGCUUGACUCCUGAUCCAUAAUCUAUAAUCAGGCUCAUGUUUUCCACAGUCACAGCGACAAAAACUCCUCACGAUUUCACACGACCUGGAAACACAGAGCUUUACAACUAAAAGACUGAGUUAAAGCAGGAACAGAUUCAGGCUGUGUCUGAGCUGAAUGAAGUUAGAACAGAACAGAAUAGAUCUUUAUUGUCAUUGUUUGAAAAAUAACAAAAGAAGCAGCUCAGGUUGACAGCUCAAGAGAGAGAGACAGAAUAAAAUGAAAUAGAGAUAAACACAGUGAGGUAGUUUAUACCGAGGUUAUCGUGAAAAGUGAGAGAGACAAGAGGUUCUUCCAGUUUUUGGGCUUUAUUACACCUCAGUUCUCACACUGUUUUUUUUAUUUUCAUGCACGUCAAUUCAUUUUUUAAAACUGUUGUUUUUGUCACGAGUUAUCACAGAACAUGAAUAUUAAGCAGUGAAAAAGUGAUUAUUCUCCUGCUUUCUCACCGUAAAUAAACUCAUGAGAAUCAUA